rnacentral:rRNA from 1 species
UACGUAGGGUGCAAGCGUUGUCCGGAAUUAUUGGGCGUAAAGAGCUCGUAGGCGGUUUGUCGCGUCUGCUGUGAAAUCCCAGGGCUUAACCCUGGGCCUGCAGUGGGUACGGGCAAACUAGAGUGCGGUAGGGGAGAUCGGAAUUCCUGGUGUAGCGGUGAAAUGCGCAGAUAUCAGGAGGAACACCGGUGGCGAAGGCGGAUCUCUGGGCCGUAACUGACACUGAGGAGCGAAAGCAUGGGUAGCGAACAGG